GCCAGCGGCUAUAUCACCCUGCAGCUCUCAACUGGCUACCUACUGAAGCUAAGCAGGGUUGAGCCUGAUCAGUACCUACUGUAGCUAGGACACUUCCUGGGAAGCUAUGAUUGCUGCUGGAA
rnacentral:rRNA from 1 species